GCCAGACCUGUACCGUGGGUGAAUGAAGAGGUCGAGACUUUGUCUUUGGUGGUGGACCAAAGAAUACAGAGAGAGCUGGACGGAGAAAGUUUAUCAGGAGGUCUCUGAGCGGAUGGCCGCUCACAUAUACAGUAGACUGUAUAUAAAGAGGACAGAAGCAGUGUAGGGAGAAGCUGAAAAAGCUCAAAAGUGACUAUCGGUCCACCCAGGACCACAACGGCCGGCGUGGGUCAACCAGGAGGUGUUGGAAGAGGUUUCAUGGAAGCUAUUUACUGGCACCGCACCGGCGAGCAACAGGAGGGAGACUCAGCCGCUGCAUUGUUGGAGACGUUCGAGAACGAAUCCCUUUCCACAUGCGAAGCCUACUCCACCUCCGUCGCGGAGCCCCCGGCUGCCCUGUCUCCUCUCCACCACCAGCAGCAGCUCCUCUCCAGCACCAGCUUCGACACCGACCCUGUCAACAGCACCGUCUUAUCACCGGCAAGAGGAAAGAGGGCCACAGAAAACUGGACCUUCCUAGCGUACUUGUGGAGAUGCAGGCUGAGGAGGAGUGGAGUCAUGCCCAGCAUGAUGAGAACAUCUGGUUGCUCCUCAGCGAGGCAAGAGAGAAUGAAGCGGCCUUGCAGCGGGAGGAGAUGGCCCAGAAUACUGCCUUCAACCAGUCAUUCCUGGGUGUGCUGGGGUAGCUGGGUAGGCAGUGGGCAGCCGGCGAGUGUGAGCGAGUCCACCUCCCAUAGACUUGAGAUUUACAAGUGCUGGU
ensembl:lncRNA